rnacentral:piRNA from 1 species
UGGCAGAUAUCCUACAACAAUUUCAAAGC